UCCACCACCGGCAAAUGGCAAGUG
rnacentral:siRNA from 1 species